ACUGACCUCAUAUUUAUAACAAUGGGGGCUGUUGACCCCCAUUUAUAACAAUGGGGGUCAGAGAGCUGGAGGAAGUGAACUUCCUAGGUGUUAUUCUGCAUCUGGUCCGACACA
ensembl:snoRNA Small nucleolar RNA SNORA17